rnacentral:lncRNA from 11 species
UCUCAACCUUCUGAUUUCUGGGUUAACCCUAUCCAGCUCUCUCAACCAUUCUUGAUACAGCUUGAUUGUCAAACCAUUUAUCAUCUUGGUUGCCAUCUUCUGGACAUGUUGCAAAUAAAGCUGACAGCCUACUCCAGACUUGAUGUGCUGCAGUCGAGUUUUGCAAUAAAAUGCAAUUGGAGCACUGGACAAAAUAGAGAAACAACAUGCAACUGAGAUUUUGCACAGGGAUCAUCUACAUUUAAAUAAAAUGUCUUGUUUGCAG